GAAAAUGAGAAAUUCCCCUGGAAGACUUCUCUUCACAGAGAGCAAGACAUCCCAGGAUAAUGAAAGGAGGCCCUGCAAGCAGCGCCGUGGCCCCGUACUCACUGUAGCAACAGGAGCCCUGCUUUCAGCUGCUGUCUGUGCUUCAGGGCCACACAGGAAGGGACUCAGCAUCAAACGGAGUGUGCACCCCACAAAUUGCAGAAAUAAUAUUCUUGAUCCGAGUGUGGGUAUUUAAAAUGAGUGUCAACUGCCAACCUCUCCUGUAACCCCGCCCACUUCAAACCGGAAACUCCCCUACGUGCACCGGAACUCCUGCCCUUUCUCUGUACUGAUAAGCAGGUGCUGCCUUGUGGACUGGGUUCCUGCAUACCCUCAUUGUAAAGCAAUCCAC
rnacentral:lncRNA from 1 species